GUUUCGGUAGCUCAGUGGAAAGAGCAUCUGCCUUCUAAGCAGUUGGUCGCUGGUUCGAUCCCAGCCCGAAACG
rnacentral:tRNA from 1 species